UACGGAGGGUGCAAGCGUUAUCCGGAUUUACUGGGUUUAAAGGGUGCGCAGGCGGAUAUGUAAGUCAGUGGUGAAAUCUCCGGGCUUAACCCGGAAACUGCCGUUGAUACUAUAUAUCUUGAAUGCUGUGGAGGUAAGCAGAAUAUGUCAUGUAGCGGUGAAAUGCUUAGAGAUGACAUAGAAUACCUAUUGCGAAGGCAGCUUACUACGCAGAUAUUGACGCUCAUGCACGUAAGCGUGGGGAUCAAACAGG
rnacentral:rRNA from 1 species